rnacentral:rRNA from 1 species
AUAAGAUAUCAAGGGCAACAGGUGAAUGCCUUGGCGCUGAGAGGCGAUGAAAGACGCGGUAAGCUGCGAUAAGCAUCGGGGAGGAGCUAAACAUCCUACGAUCCGAUGAUUUCUGAAUGGGGAAACCCGAUGGGAGUCAUGUCCCAUCAUCCUGAGCUGAAUAUAUAGGCCCAGAGAAGCCAACCCGGGGAAGUGAAACAUCUCAGUACCCGGAGGAAGAGAAAUCAAACGAGACUCCCAAAGUAGCGGCGAGCGAAAUGGGAAGAGCCCAAACCGGGUGGUUUCGACCAUUCGGGGUUGUAGGGCCGGCAUACGCGAUUCUGGAGUAGGCAGAGGAAGUGAGCUGGAAAGCUCCGCCACAGCGGGUGAUAGCCCCGUACUCGAAACCGAAAAGGACGCAGCCGGUACCUGAGUACUGCGAGGCACGUGGAACCUCGUGGGAAUCUAGGGGGACCAUCCUCUAAGGCUAAGUACUCCUCAGCGACCGAUAGUGAACUAGUACCGUGAGGGAAAGGUGAAAAGAACCCCUGUUAGGGGAGUGAAAUAGAAUCUGAAACCUGUUGCCUACAAGCUGCGAGAGCUACUUCGGUAGUGAUCGCGUGCCUUUUGUAUAAUGAGUCAGCGAGUUACUCUACCGUGCGAGGUUAAGCGAAAGCGUAGCCGUAGUGAAAGCGAGGCUUAAUAGGCCGACUAGUACGUUGGAGUAGACCCGAAACCGGGUGAUCUAUCCAUGAGCAGGUUGAAGCAAGGGUAAAGCCUUGUGGAGGACCGAACCGUCAACGGCUGAAAACGUUCCGGAUGACUUGUGGAUAGGGGUGAAAGGUCAAUCAAACCCGGUGAUAGCUGGUUCUCCCCGAAAUAUAUUGAGGUAUAGCCUCGGGAAUUGAUUAGCGGAGGUAAAGCACUGACAGAGCUAGGGGUCCUACCAGAUUACCAAACUCUAUCAAACUCAGAAUGCCGCUUAAUUGUAUCCCGGGAGUCAGACGGCGGGUGCGAAGGUUCGUCGUCAAAAGGGAAACAGCCCAGACCAACAGCUAAGGUCUCCAAAUCCAUGCUCAGUGGUGAAGGUAGUGGAACCGUUUAGACAGCCAGGACGUUGGCUUAGAAGCAGCCAUCGUUUAAAGAAAGCGUAAUAGCUCACUGGUCUAAUGGCUCUGCGCCGAAAAUGUAACGGGGCUAAGCAUGGUACCGAAGCUUUGGCAAUCCCCUUUGGGGAUUGGGUAGGGGAGCGUUCGCUGCGGGCUGAAGGUGUAUCGGAAGGUAUGCUGGACUGCAGUGAAGUGAUUAUGCUGACAUGAGUAACGAUAAAAUAUGUGAAAAACAUAUUCGCCGAAAACCCGAGGUUUCCUGGGUAAAGGUAAUCUUCCCAGGGUUAGUCGGAUCCUAAGGUGAGGGUGAAAGCCGUAACCGAUGGAAAACAGGUUAAUAUUCCUGUACUUGUUGUGUAGCGCGAUGGAGGGACGCAGGAAGAUAGGCGGGCCGGGUGUUGGAUAUCCCGGUGCAAGCGUGUAGGAAUAUCCGGUAGGCAAAUCCGCCGGACGAAUCUGAGACGCGAGUCCGUGGGCGCAAGCCCUGAAGCCGUUGAGUCUAUGCUGCCUAGAAAAGCUCCUAAGUUUAUCCACAGCAAUCCGUACCGCAAACCAACUCAGGUGGGUGGGAUGAACAAUCCAAGGCGCUCGAGAGAACUCUGGCCAAGGAACUCGGCAAAAUAACCCCGUAACUUCGGAAGAAGGGGUGCUCUCUAGGGUGACAUGUUUAACAUAUGAAGCCCCGGGGAGCCGCAGUGAAUUGGUGGUGGCGACUGUUUACUAAAAACAUAGGUCUGUGCGAAGUCCUAAAGACGACGUAUACGGACUGACGCCUGCCCGGUGCUGGAAGGUUAAAAGGAGGGGUCAGCGCAAGCAAAGCUCCGAAUUGAAGCCCCAGUAAACGGCGGCCGUAACUAUAACGGUCCUAAGGUAGCGAAAUUCCUUGUCGGGUAAGUUCCGACCUGCACGAAUGGCGUAACGAUCUCCACACUGUCUCGGCCAGAGACUCGGUGAAAUUGCAGUCGCGGUGAAAAUUCCGUGUACCCGCAGAAAGACGGAAAGACCCUGUGCACCUUUACUAUAGCUUGACAUUGGAUUUUGGGCCUGCAUGUGUAGGAUAGGUGGGAGGCUGUGAACCCUGUACGCCAGUAUGGGGGGAGCCAUCCUUGAAAUACCACCCUUGCAUGUUUAAGAUCCUAACUUCUUCCGGUUAUCCCGGAGAAAGACAGUGUCUGGCGGGGAGGUUGACUGG